CCUCCAUACCACCCUGAGCACAUCUGAUCUUGCCUGAUUUCAGAAGCAAAGCAGGGUUGUGUCUGGUUAGUACUUUCCUGGAAGGCCAUCAGGGAUAUCAGGGUACAGCCAGGA
rnacentral:rRNA from 1 species